GAUGAACGCUAGCGGCAGGCUUAACACAUGCAAGUCGAGGGGCAGCAUAAUGGUAGUAAUACUAUUGAUGGCGACCGGCGGACGGGUGCGUAACGCGUAUGCAACCUACCCUUUACAGGGGGAUAACACUGAGAAAUCGGUACUAAUACCCCAUAAUAUUCUGGGAGGCAUCUUUCGGAGUUGAAAGCUUUGGUGGUAAAGGAUGGGCAUGCGUUGUAUUAGCUAGUUGGUAAGGUAACGGCUUACCAAGGCGACGAUACAUAGGGGGACUGAGAGGUUAACCCCCCACAUUGGUACUGAGACACGGACCAAACUCCUACGGGAGGCAGCAGUGAGGAAUAUUGGUCAAUGGACGGAAGUCUGAACCAGCCAUGCCGCGUGCAGGAAGACGGCUCUAUGAGUUGUAAACUGCUUUUGUACGAGGGUAAACGCAGAUACGUGUAUCUGCCUGAAAGUAUCGUACGAAUAAGGAUCGGCUAACUCCGUGCCAGCAGCCGCGGUAAUACGGAGGAUCCAAGCGUUAUCCGGAUUUAUUGGGUUUAAAGGGUGCGUAGGCGGUUUAGUAAGUCAGCGGUGAAAUUUUGGUGCUUAACACCAAACGUGCCGUUGAUACUGCUGGGCUAGAGAGUAGUUGCGGUAGGCGGAAUGUAUGGUGUAGCGGUGAAAUGCUUAGAGAUCAUACAGAACACCGAUUGCGAAGGCAGCUUACCAAACUAUAUCUGACGUUGAGGCACGAAAGCGUGGGGAGCAAACAGGAUUAGAUACCCUGGUAGUCCACGCAGUAAACGAUGAUAGCUCGUUGUCGGCGAUACACAGUCGGUGACUAAGAGAAAUCGAUAAGCUAUCCACCUGGGGAGUACGUUCGCAAGAAUGAAACUCAAAGGAAUUGACGGGGGCCCGCACAAGCGGAGGAACAUGUGGUUUAAUUCGAUGAUACGCGAGGAACCUUACCCGGGCUUGAAAGUUACUGACGAUUCUGGAAACAGGAUUUCCCUUCGGGGCAGGAAACUAGGUGCUGCAUGGUUGUCGUCAGCUCGUGCCGUGAGGUGUCGGGUUAAGUCCCAUAACGAGCGCAACCCCUACUGAUAGUUGCCAUCAGA
rnacentral:rRNA from 1 species